rnacentral:rRNA from 1 species
UACGUAGGGGGCAAGCGUUAUCCGGAUUUACUGGGUGUAAAGGGAGCGUAGACGGCUAAUCAAGUCAGAAGUGAAAACCCAGGGCUCAACCUUGGGACUGCUUUUGAAACUGUAUGGCUAGAUUGCAGGAGAGGCAAGUGGAAUUCCUAGUGUAGCGGUGAAAUGCGUAGAUAUUAGGAGGAACACCAGUGGCGAAGGCGGCUUGCUGGACUGUAAAUGACGCUGAGGCUCGAAAGCGUGGGGAGCAAACAGG